rnacentral:rRNA from 1 species
GACGAACGCUGGCGGCGUGCUUAACACAUGCAAGUCGAACGGAAAGGCCUCUUUCGGGGGGUACUCGGGUGGCGAACGGGUGAGUAACACGUGAGUAACCUGCCCUUGACUUUGGGGUAACUUCAGGAAAAUGGGGCUAAUACCGGAUAGGAGCUACUGCUUAAGGGUGGGGGUUGGAAAGUUUCGGCGGUUGGGGAUGGACUGGCGGCUUUGUAGGUUGUUGGUGGGGUAGUGGCUUACCAAGGCUUUGACGGGUAGCCGGCCUGAGAGGGUGAGCGGCCACAUUGGGACUGAGAUACGGCCCAGACACCUACGGGAGGCAGCAGUGGGGAAUAUUGCACAAUGGGUGGAAGCCUGAUGCAGCAACGCCGUGGGCGGGAUGACGGCCUUCGGGUUGAAAACAGCGUUCGCUCAUGACGAAGCUUUGUGUGACGGUAGUGGGUAAAGAAGCACCGGCUAACUACGUG